rnacentral:tRNA from 1 species
UAGCUCAGUCAGUAAAGAAUCUGUCUGGAAUGCAGGAGAUCCAGGUUCAAUUCCUGG